ensembl:misc_RNA Metazoa_SRP Metazoan signal recognition particle RNA
GCCAGGUGUGGUGGUGCAUGCCUGUAAUCCCAGCUACUUGGGAGGCUGAGGCAGGACAAUCGCUUGAACUCAGGAGGCGGAGGUUGCAGUGAGCCAAGAUCAUGCCACUGCACUUCAGCCUGGGUGACAGAGCGAGACUCCGCCUCAA